rnacentral:lncRNA from 1 species
AGAGAAUGUAGCAGAAGACACCUUAAAGACAGAUAAGCCAUGGCAGAGAGAAGGCUUCUGGACUUUAAUAAUCAUCUAUUAAUGUAGUGCAGGUUAGACCCCAACUACCCCACUCUGCCCCUGUAGGUUAGACCCCAACUACCCCACUCUGUCCCUGUAGGUUAGACCCCAACUACCCCACUCUGCCCCUGUAGGUUAGACCCCAACUACCCCACUCUGCCCCUGCAGGUUAGACCCCAACUACCCCACUCUGCCCCUGCAGGUUAGACCCCAACUACCCCACUCUGUCCCUGUAGGUUAGACCCCAACUACCCCACUCUGUCCCUGUAGGUUAGACCCCAACUACCCCACUCUGUCCCUGUAGGUUAGACCCCAACUACCCCUGCAGGUUUGAACAUGUUUUAAAUGCCCUACUGCGUGGCUAUGAUGUUGACUUUGGUAUUUUGGCAUGUUAUUUAUCAAUCUGUUAAUAGCAAUAUUGAAAUGCUUAUAACAUUGUUCUAAUAAUAAUUUAUUGACCUAUUGCCUUUAUCGUGGAUAUCAUAUAUAUAUUUACCUUUCAACAGUUUCUGUCUCUAGACUUCCAGGCUGACUGUAGACACUAUUUAUCAAACCAUCAUGUGCAAUUAUUAAACUGAAUCAGUAGCUUUUAGAGUCUUCUAACUACAUACUGUAUCUCCUAUGUUAUAAUAUACCACCAGACUGAUG